rnacentral:rRNA from 1 species
UUACAUGCCCAGCAGCCGCGGUUAAUACGGAAGGGUGCAAGCGUUACUCGGAAUCACUGGGCGUAAAGAGCGUGUAGGCGGGUUGAUAAGUUUGAAGUGAAAUCCUAUAGCUUUAACUAUAGAACUGCUUUGAAAACUGUUAACCUAGAAUAUGGGAGAGGUAGAUGGAAUUUCUGGUGUAGGGGUAAAAUCCGUAGAGAUCAGAAGGAAUACCCGAUUGCGAAGGCGAUCUACUGGAACAUUAUUGACGCUGAGACGCGAAAGCGUGGAUAGCAAACAGGAUUAGAUACCCUGGUAGUCCACGCCCUAAACGAUGUACACUAGUUGUUGUGAGGCUCGACCUUGCAGUAAUGCAGUUAACACAUUAAGUGUACCGCCUGGGGAGUACGGUCGCAAGAUUAAAACUCAAAAGGAAUAGACGGGGACCCCGCACAAGCGGUGGAGCAUGUGGUUUAAUUUCGACGAUACACGGAAGAACCUUUACCUGGACUUGGACAUAGUAAGAACUUUCUAGAGAUAGAUUGGGUGUCUGCCUUGCAGAAACUUAUAUACAGGUGCUGCACGGCUGUCGUCAGCUCGUGUCGUGAGAUGUUGGGUUAAGUCCCGCAACGAGCGCAACCCUCGUCAUUAGUUGCUAACAGUUCGGCUGAGAACUCUAAUGAGACUGCCUACGUAAGUAGGAGGAAGGUGAGGACGACGUCAAGUCAUCAUGGCCCUUACGUCCAGGGCUACACACGUGCUACAAUGGGGUAUACAAAGAGCAGCAAUACGGUGACGUGGAGCAAAUCUCAAAAAUAUCUCCCAGUUCGGAUUGUAGUCUGCAACUCGACUACAUGAAGUUGGAAUCGCUAGUAAUCGUAGAUCAGCUAUGCUACGGUGAAUACGUUCCCGGGUCUUGUACUCACCGCCCGUCACACCCAUGGGAGUUGAACUCAUUCGAAGCGGGGAUGCUAAAGUAGCUA